GGCUCAGAUUGAACGCUGGCGGCGUGGCUAAAGCAUGCAAGUCGAGCGAACCCGCAAGGGUGAGCGGCGGACGGGUUAGUAAUACGAUCGAACGUACCCCGAGGCGGGGGAUAGGCAUGGGAAACUGUGCGUAAUACCCCAUAAUCUCUCCGGAGCAAAGGUUUACCACCUUGGGAUCGGCGAUCGUCCUAUCAGCUAGUUGGCGGGGUAACGGCCCACCAAGGCGAUGACGGGUAGCAGGUGUGAGAGCACGACCUGCAACAUCGGGACUGAGACACUGCCCGGACUCCUACGGGAGGCUGCAGCGACGAAUCUUCCGCAAUGGGCGCAAGCCUGACGGAGCGACGCCGCGUGUGGGAUGAAGCGCCUUUGGCGUGUAAACCACUGUCAGGGAACAGAACCAAUGAUCGUUCCCAAAGGAAGAGACGGCUAACCCUGUGCCAGCAGCCGCGGUAAGACAGGGGUCUCGAGCGUUAAUCGGAAUUACUGGGCUUAAAGGGUGCGUAGGCCGGCCCGCAAGUGCUUUGUGAAAUCCCCCGGCUCAACCGGGGAACUGCCAGGCAUACUGCGGGUCUUGAGGAAGGUAGGGGUUGCCAGAACUGUAGGUGGAGCGGUGAAAUGCGUAGAUAUCUACAGGAAUGCCGAUGGUGAAGACGGGCAACUGGGCCUUUCCUGACGCUGAGGCACGAAAGCGUGGGGAGCAAACAGGAUUAGAUACCCUGGUAGUCCACGCCGUAAACGAUGCGCGCUAGAUCGGGGCGGCUCUGACGCCGGCUCGGUCGAAGAAAAAUCGAUAAGCGCGCCGCCUGGGGAGUACGGUCGCAAGGCUAAAAC
rnacentral:rRNA from 1 species